AAUCACGGUCGGACAUCGUGAGGUUAGUGCAAAGGCAUAAGCUAGCUUGACUGCGAGAGUGACGGCUCGAGCAGGUACGAAAGUAGGUCUUAGUGAUCCGGUGGUUCUGAAUGGAAGGGCCAUCGCUCAACGGAUAAAAGGUACUCCGGGGAUAACAGGCUGAUACCGCCCAAGAGUUCAUAUCGACGGCGGUGUUUGGCACCUCGAUGUCG
rnacentral:rRNA from 1 species